rnacentral:rRNA from 1 species
UAGAUACCCCGGUAGUCCACGCCCUAAACGAUGUUCACUAGUCGUCGGGAUGCUAGUCAUCUCGGUGAUGCACUUAACAGAUUAAGUGAACCGCCUGGGGAGUACGGUCGCAAGAUUAAAACUCAAAGGAAUAGACGGGGACCCGCACAAGUGGUGGAGCAUGUGGUUUAAUUCGAAGAUACGCGAAGAACCUUACCUAGCCUUGACAUUGAUUGAAUUUUCCAGAGAUGGAGAAGUGCCUUUCGGGGAACAUGAAAACAGGUGCUGCACGGCUGUCGUCAGCUCGUGUCGUGAGAUGUUGGGUUAAGUCCCGCAACGAGCGCAACCCUCGUCCUUAGUUGCCAGCAGGUUAAGCUGGGCACUUUAAGGAGACUGCCUUCGUAAGGAGGAGGAAGGUGAGGACGACGUCAAGUCAUCAUGGCACUUAUGGCUAGGGCUACACACGUGCUACAAUGGGGCGUACAGAGAGUUGCGACACCGCGAGGUGGAGCCAAUCUCAUAAAGCGUCUCUCAGUUCGGAUUGAAGUCUGCAACUCGACUUCAUGAAGCUGGAAUCACUAGUAAUCGUAGAUCAGCAACGCUACGGUGAAUACGUUCCCGGGUCUUGUACUCACCGCCCGUCACACCAUGGGAGUUGAUUUCACCCGAAAUUGGGAAGCUAACCUUCGGGAGGCUACCACUUACGGUGGAAUUAGCGGCUGGGGUGAAGUCGUAACAAGGUA